rnacentral:lncRNA from 1 species
AUGCCGCGCAAAUACUCUUCUCCUCACCUGCGUCUCACAGUGUCUGAGCAUUCCCUGGACUCGUCAAGGGUCUCCACUUUCCCGGCCGAGUGGACCCGUCAAACCUCCGAAGACGUGUUUGAGGACCAGGGUGACCAGCUCAUUACUGCACCUGCCCGCCACCCGCGACCCCCCGGCAGAAGGUCGAAAUCAAAGGCCGGCCGAAAGGGUUUCGCACCGGAUGACUACAAGGAUAAGGUGGCCGCUGAAACAGACGAUGGACCCACUCCGCAGAGAGACACUGUGGAUAAAACCAAGAAAUACAAUUUUACAAAGAGAGGCACUGUGGAUGAGGCUAAACAUCCGCUGACAAACUCUAUGGAUGACACAAUGGAUGGCGCAAAGAUGCUCAAGACACCUGUGAACAACAGGACAAGCGACCUGAUUGCAGAACUCAACUACAGUAAAAACCUGAAGAUGAUGGAAAACGCAGAGCUGCAAAAACUCAAAGUGUAUGCCGAGGAGAAUACCCUGUCUCUAAAUCAAGAGAACAUUGAGUUAAAGAAACAGGUGAAAAAUCUCAGGAGCACCAUAGAUUAUUUGGACACCCUGCGUGACAAUAUCCGGGAGGCGCGUAAAGCCCUGCAUGAGCGUAGCCACGAAAGCGCACAGCUGGAGUCUCGGCGCCUGCAGCUUGAACAGCAGAAUGACUCCAUCAGGGAUAAGAUUGAAAUGAUGAAGGAUGAUCUAUUCAUCCUUAAACCCGAGGGAAAGAAGGGCAAGACUACAAUAAAGCACCUAAACCGUUUUGUUGGACUGUUACAAUAUCAAGACGAAGAGGCCCAAAUCACUAUUCUUCAGAAAGAUACAUUGAUCCAGAGAAAAACCUCCCAAAUCGAGGAGAUGCAAAGCCACUUCGCUGAAUCGGUAUCCUGCGUCCAGGUGUUUCAGGAGAGGUUGAAAGACUUGGCGGAGAGAAUUGACGAAGCCAAGAACGCUGGAAAAAAGGAUGAAGACUGCUCCGGCGCGGAUAAAGACGGCGACAGUACCGUUACGCACAGGACAAGGCCUCCCACCCUCGCAGAGGAAAUUGCGCAGGCAGAGCAGUAUGCCGCGCAAAUCGUUAAGCAGCCGAAUAAGGAGGAGGUGGCAUCUCCACCUGCUCCGACCGAGAGUUGGUUCAGGAAAAGUAUAUUCGGGGGUCUGCAGAAGGCGGCCUACCGCGCAAGGGUUCUCGCCUUGACCGUGAUGGUUCCACUCUGCGUAAUAGCCUCCAUGGUUACUGCAUGCCAGGAUGGACCCGGCAUACCCUGUGGUGACCUGCUGCAGGACGCAGCCAGUGGCUUUCUGAAACCAUAUUGUACUAUGGAUUUCACCGCCCUCCCUCCAUUCUGA